AGGAAGAAGAGAUGCCAGAUGUAGAAAUUGAUAUUGAUGAUCUUCUUGAUGCUGCUAAUGAAGAGGAGAGAGCCCUCAAAUUACAAGAAGCGCUUGUAGAUUGCUACAAACCUACAGAGGAUUUUAUCAAAGAACUUCUAACUCGGAUAAGAGGGAUGAGGAAAUUGAGCCCUCCUCAAAAGAAGAGUAUAUAAGUGAAAACAGAGCCCUCUUGAGAGAAGUGAUCAAUAAACUGGGACUAUUAAAUAGGACGUCUACUAGUUUGGUCAUUAUGAGCAAUUUUCUCUUUUUUGGUUGAAUUCUGACAUUUUAAAGAAUUCAACCCCUUCUGUUUAAGGCAUUUUUUUUUAAGUGUCAGUUUAUUUUAUCACAAAUAGCAACAUUACGGAUGCUGCUUUUACUACCUGCGGAUGAUCAAGAUAGACGGGAAAACACCAAUUUUAGAGUGACUUUCCCAGGCAUUAAUCCUGCCUGAAUUCUACAUAGAACUCCUAGGGAAAUGCUGUUCCUUUACAACCAGUUUGAUCAUUUGUACACCAGACUCAUGGAUGUUAAGGUUCUUGUGCUUGUGUACAUAAAUUAUCAAGUGAGUGUUACUAUUGAUUCACAUCAGUGGAAAGGAAAUGUGCUCUAAGUAACAAUAUAAACCGAAGUUAUAACCAAUGUGGUGUUGGGGGAGGGAAGGGGUGCAAUUUGUUAAAUGGGGGUGCUGCCACUGUUAAAGCAUUGCAACAAAUGCCACUGUUCAUAAAGCAACACAUAAGCAAACUGGGGUCCAAGGGCUUGAUUUUUUAGGGUUUGAACUACAUCUACCAACGUUGAGGCUCAGCCAGAUAAGCUCUCUUCGUCUUAUGAUCUGGUAGGAUUGAUCAACCUACUGCUAAAGGAUCUGAUAGGACAGCAAGAAAAAGGCCAAUACCAUUAUGAGAGAGUCUUGGGGGGGGGGAGAAAAUGCAAGUCAAUCCCCCCCCCUUCUUAUAACAAGAAUAUCCAGUUACCUCUUCCUAUUUUGACAUCCAACUUGGUAGGUUGGCUGGCUGGCUUAGUGAUUUCAGUUGUAGAGGUGAAAGCCUGUUCCCCAGACUCUUCAGGAAAACAUUAUUUGCUCAAAUGCAGGGUUUCUCAACUGUAGCAAUUUAAUAACAUGCUAGCUGGGGAAUUCUGGGAGUUGAAGUCCACACGUUUUAAAAUUGCCAAGGUUGAGAAACACUGCUGUAAUGUUUCACAAGCUACCAUCUGCUGGUAGAUGCUAGUCUGGCAUUUUAUAUCAAGGGUGCUCUGAACAUAAUUUUAUUUUUUAAAAAGAAGAAAUACAUGUUUGUGGACUUUAUGUAUACUGGCAAGCUUUUUUAAAUGUAUUUAAUUUUGUAAUGUUUUAUUAAUGACUUUAUUUACCAGAUAUUUACUCAAAUAAAUGCAACAAAUUGAGGUGUUGUUAUGUAUAUUGUAACUAUUGAUAGAAAACUGGAACAUGAAAUUGAAAAACUAUUUAUUUGGGUAGGCAACUAACAACCUCUUACACUCUGUGCACACUCAUUGUUUCCUAAAGAGCUGGCAUAUAUAUGCCCUCAGGAAGGUAUAUUGAAGCAACAACUUUCCUCAGUUUUCAGAAUUGUUAUUUUUAUUUAAAUGAUACAGCUAUCUGAAUGGCAAAAUUCCCUGAAAAGGAGUGUGUUUCCCAAACACGUUAUGUUAUGUUUUAUGUUUUAAUAUUAAUUGUGAGUCACAUAAAGAUACGUAAAACCUUGUCCCCUCACUUGUGCCAACUCAUAUCCCAUGUAUUUCUCUAAAGUAAAUGUGAAGAUAUGUUUUAUUUCAUCCCCUGCAUUUUGUUUGAUAAUUUUACUGAAAUGCUUUUAGAAUCAAAGAAUCAUUUGGAAUCAUUUAAUGGAAAUGAUUGGAGAAAAAUAACACAUUGCAUCCUUUAGAAGGAAGAAUGCUAGGUAGAAUUUAAAAGAUUACAAAAGAAUUAGCUAUCUAGAUCAGCUGUAGAAGUGUUGUUUUGUGCCCUUGAUUAUUUUAAUACUGAAAUAAUUACAGAUGAAAUUUUAGCAGAUGUUCGUGACCUAUAAAUAGUAAUUAGCAUAAUUACACUUCUUCUUACAAAUACUCAUUUGAGGUGGGAAGGAGGUGGCAAUAUUAGGGUCUGUCUGAUCUAGAAGCUGAACUAAAAUGUUCUUUCUGUGUUUAGAUUGGUGUUUAGAAAUGGUAGCAAUUUGAGGAAUGAUUUGGCCGUUAUGAGGUUUUAUCCCAACUUCAUAAUCCCUGCACUGUUCUGUUCCUAAGACAAGAGACAAAUCAGAAAGAAACUUUUCACGCUUGUUUUUUUUAAAAGGUGUAACAGUAUUAAUUAUACCCCCAUCCAUUAAAGAAGUUCAGAAUUUACUAUAAAGAGCAUCAGUUGAAUGCAGGGCAGACCAUAUGCACUUUCACAUUGCCACUCUGUGUUACAACUCCCCGGUCCCUUAAAAGUAGCUUGAAAUAAGUCCAUAGUAACCUUGAUUUCUGUGGAUGUCAAAACCCUGAUGUAUAGUGAAACAAACAUGAUAGAUAGUGCAAACAAACAUAAUCCAAGAUGAGCGCUGCCUCAGAGGAACAAAAAUCCCCUCACCCCACUCCACACAAAAGGGGAGCAAAAUGCUACCACCCCCAGGCCACAUCUGUAUUUUACCUUACGUGCAUUGUCUGGUCACAUGCAGUAAUAAUAAUGAAAACUCUGGUCAUUUGCUUAGAGGUAAAUGGGGGGUGGAUAACUUUCCAUGAAUGGAAGAAUAAAUUGCCCACAAAUUCAACAAGGCUGUAGCAGUAUAAAGGUUUUGCUCCAGUUUCAGAUAAACUGGUGUAGAACCAGGAACAAUAGCAAACAAAGUUGGUUUUUGAACAAAGCUGAUGAUGUGGAAUUGCAGAUGCAGAGCUGUUUUUGAACUGCCGCAGAACUCCAUAUGGAGGUGCUCUGUAUCUUCAGUUAUGCUCAGACAGGUGUGUUUCUUUGCUGUUUUUCUCAUUAAAAAUGAGAAAAAAACCUC